GUGUGUUUCUGGUCGACAUUUUCACCAGACAAGAAAAGGUUCUUCUCUUGAACCCUAAAUUACAAAGAAAUGCUCAAAUCGAAGGGGAAAUCAAGCUAAAAAUUGGGGAUUUUAUUAAAUUCGUGAUCACCAAGUCAUGAGGAUCACAAGUUUGACUCUUGACGAGCUAGGUGAAGCUUGGAGGAGAUGAUCAAACGGGAUAAAGACACAAGUAAGACUUGCUUGGAUGAAAGGUAAGUAAAGCUUACACCUAUUUUUUUAGCAUACGUAUUUAUUCUAUAGGUGAUAAAUACAACAAUAGAUCAUGUUCGAAUUAUGGGUUCCGACACGAAAUGAAAUGGGUCGGAACGAAUAAAAAUGUUUAAAAUCAUGAUUAAUGGUGAAAGAGGUAAAAUGGUAAUUUAGUCAUAAAUCGACUAAGAAUUUAUGAGUUUUCUUAAAGUUACCUCAUAGCUUAACUAAUAAUGGAAAAAGGGGUAAAAUGGUAAUUUAGUCACGUGAUGACUUAUUGUAAUCGAGAUUAAAAGGAUACCCACGGCGUAAGCCGAACUGGGUCAAAUAUGUAAGAAAAAAAGGAAAUUUUUGUGGUAAAAUCCGUAAUGGGUCGGAUGCGUGAUUGAGUAAUUAGAAACCAUGAUUUGUAAUAAAUAUAAUUGUUUGGUCGUAUAGACCAAAUGGGUCAAAUGAUGGUGAUAACAUCAUAUGACCAUAUCGACUAAUGUUGGUUGUUAAGUCAUAUGUUUACAGGAACGAAUAGCAAUUUGGAUAAUUGCGUCGUCAUAGAAUAUUGAAUUAAUAAUAGCAAGGUAUAAACGGGUCUAUACGUUGACUCGAGCCAGGUACGCUUAUAUAUAGAUUUAUAGUUAAAAGUGUUUAACUUCCCUUAACGGGUCAAAAUGAGUAGAUAGGUAAAACGGGUUAAGAAUUCAUAAGAAACCUGUAAUUUGAACCUUGCAUAUUAAUAAAUUAAUAUAACGUGAUAUGCAUGAUAUUUUGAAAAGGUAAUAAACAAGUUUGUUUGAUAAAUCACGAACGGGUCAAAAAGUGUCAUAAUUGAUUUUCAAGCCGAGAGCUUAAAAGUUAAAAUUUUGUGAAUUUAGAUGUCGGGAGUGAAGAUGGAAAAUUAAAUUACGAACGCGUAGGAAAAAGAAUCGCGAAGAACGGACUUGUAGAAUGAAAGUUAUGUCAAUUUAAAGUUCAAAAUUUAUUAAAAUUUGAGCUGGAAAGAAAAUGCAGGUUCAUAUAUAAACAUGCUGGAAACUGGUCUCCCCCGCGGCACGCGAAGGGGAAAUAAGGUCCGGGCGCGCCACGCGAUAGGCGUCGUGGCACGCGACACAUCUAGUUGAGUCUCUCGCGACACGCGAGGGACAUAAAGGCUGGAAAAAUUAUUUUUGGUUAAUUGUUUGAUGCGUAGAACUUGUUUAAACUUAUAUUUAAGUUAUCAAAACUAACUUUUAGGUUGGUUUUGAUCAUAGGUGAAUAUCGAAAGUACCCGGACGAAGAUCAAGCAACGAGAAAGAACCGAACACAUGAAGAAGAAGCUUCUGCACGUUGUUUCGUCGAAAUUUUUUAAACGACAAACUAAACUACAUUAUGUUGUUCUAAACUUUAAAUUGUAAAAGUUUUAAUAAACCUGUACUUGUUAAUGUAUAUGUGCUCUUAAUCACAUGUUUAUU
rnacentral:lncRNA from 1 species